UGCAGUCGACGAGUUCUCGUUGAUGAUCGGUGCUUGCACCGAGAUUCAACAUGGAACGAGUGGCGGACGGGUGAGUAACACGUGGGUAACCUGCCCUUAAGUGGGGGAUAACAUUUGGAAACAGAUGCUAAUACCGCAUAGAUCCAAGAACCGCAUGGUUCUUGGCUGAAAGAUGGCGUAAGCUAUCGCUUUUGGAUGGACCCGCGGCGUAUUAGCUAGUUGGUGAGGUAAUGGCUCACCAAGGCGAUGAUACGUAGCCGAACUGAGAGGUUGAUCGGCCACAUUGGGACUGAGACACGGCCCAAACUCCUACGGGAGGCAGCAGUAGGGAAUCUUCCACAAUGGACGCAAGUCUGAUGGAGCAACGCCGCGUGAGUGAAGAAGGCUUUCGGGUCGUAAAACUCUGUUGUUGGAGAAGAAUGGUCGGCAGAGUAACUGUUGUCGGCGUGACGGUAUCCAACCAGAAAGCCACGGCUAACUACGUGCCAGCAGCCGCGGUAAUACGUAGGUGGCAAGCGUUAUCCGGAUUUAUUGGGCGUAAAGCGAGCGCAGGCGGUUUUUUAAGUCUGAUGUGAAAGCCCUCGGCUUAACCGAGGAAGCGCAUCGGAAACUGGGAAACUUGAGUGCAGAAGAGGACAGUGGAACUCCAUGUGUAGCGGUGAAAUGCGUAGAUAUAUGGAAGAACACCAGUGGCGAAGGCGGCUGUCUGGUCUGUAACUGACGCUGAGGCUCGAAAGCAUGGGUAGCGAACAGGAUUAGAUACCCUGGUAGUCCAUGCCGUAAACGAUGAAUGCUAGGUGUUGGAGGGUUUCCGCCCUUCAGUGCCGCAGCUAACGCAUUAAGCAUUCCGCCUGGGGAGUACGACCGCAAGGUUGAACUCA
rnacentral:rRNA from 1 species